rnacentral:rRNA from 1 species
AGGACGAACGCUGGCGGCGUGCUUAACACAUGCAAGUCGAGCGGAAAGGCCCUUCGGGGUACUCGAGCGGCGAACGGGUGAGUAACACGUGAGUAAUCUGCCCCUAGCUCUGGGAUAGCUCCGGGAAAACCGGGAUUAAUACCGGAUAUGACCACUUUAGAUAUCUGUUGUGGUGGAAAGAAUUUCGGCUAGGGAUGAGCUCGCGGCCUAUCAGCUUGUUGGUGGGGUAACGCCUACCAAGGCGACGACGGGUA